GCGCUCCACAGCCGAAUGCGGAGCUCAGGGUUUCCAGCGGGAGCCUGAAAGGGAGAGGCCGCUUCGAAGGAAAGAGAAAGAGGAAGAAUCUCUGACUUGGAGCUGCUAUUCAUUAAGGGCUACACAGGAAAUAAGAGAAUUGUCCAGCAUUAUGAAGGCGAAGAAGGAUCACGAAGAUGAAGCCAACACUGUGCUAAGCAUUGCCUGGCGUGCAAGGGACUGGGUCGCUGGUUAGGAGUGUGAGGGCUUGCUUUGUGAGCUGAAAAGAUUUGUUUGCUCUGCAGGGUAGUUUGUUGUCAGCAACAAAAGCGAAAUCCUGUCUAUGAUGAACUGUUGGCUUUCUUGUGCUCCUGAGAACAGGCAUACAGCUGACUGGAAUAAAUAUGACGACCGAUUAAUGAAGGCAGCAGAGAGAGGGGAUGUAGAGAAAGUAUCUGCGAUCCUUGCAAGAAAGGGAGUCAAUCCUGCCAAACUGGACGUGGAGGGCCAAUCUGUCUUCCAUGUUGUGGCCUCAAAGGGGAAUCUCGAGUGCUUGAAUGCCAUCCUGAUACAUGGACUUAAUAUCACGACCAGUGACACUGCAGGUAG